GAUUAGGCCCUAUGAUGGUGUCCCCUGAAUAGAUAUGUGGGCACAGUUGACAAUGGGCUUUGUUGCAAGGAUAGGUUACUGGGUUAGUGGUUCUGUUGUGAAGAAGUUAAAAGAAAGAAAGUGAGAGGUUAACUCUGUAGUUACUGGAGGAAAUUAAGCAGUGAAACUUUGUACAAAUGUUAAAAAGGGUGUUAUGAAAAAAAAAAUUCUUUGGAGAAAGGGCACAUUUCUCUGGAAGAAUUUCUGUAAAUAAUCCAGGCAAAAGGUUAUUUAAGUGAAAUCAUUUAACUAUGAACAAGUUAGUCAAAUUUGCUAAAAAAACACUCCUGGUGUGUACAAUCUUUGUUUUAUAAGUUUAAGAUGAGUUGGUGUUGUUUUAAAAUUGUAAAACCAAAAAAUACUUUUGCCAGACAAAAGAAACUAGUGUUGUUUAAUUUUGGUAUUUGGCAUUUAAUCCUUAAGGUGACUUAUCGCUUUACAAGAUUUAAAAUGUUUUUAAAUAAAGGCCAAAGUUGUGGCUGCAGCAGGGCAGUCAAAGCCAGGAAAAUGGAAAAAGAUUUUAAAUCUGUUUUGGUAACAAAUAGCAGAUAAAAGCUGUAGUCAGUGCCCCACACUAAGUCUUAAGGUGGCUUCGUGUAAUCAACGGUCACUUUGCCAAAGGGAAGCCAAAAUGGGUUGUGUUUUCCUUUUAAAUCAAUGUGUGUUUAAAAGCAGAAGAUAAAAGUUAAUUGUGUCCUUAAAGUCUGUAAGCGGCUGAUAACUUUGAAUCCAAAAGCAAGCUGAGAAUGUCUGUGUUAAUGCAAAUCACCUACAUAAUAAAGAAAAGGAGUACUUGUGGCACCUUAGAGACUAACAAAUUUAUUUGAGCAUAAGCUUUCGUGAGUGAGCUACAGCUCACUUCAUUGGAUGCAUUCGGUGGAAACCUGACCUGCCUAUAAAACAAAUACAGAAAAUCAUGGGAGUAAUUCCUCAGUUUUGCCUGCAAACAGCAAGGGUAUUUGUAAAGAAAGGAGUAUUUUAAGCAAUACUGCCAACAGUGUGUAAUCUGCCAGCAACAUAGUGUUGGUAAAGCUGUCAAGGUUAGGCAGGCAGCACAUCCCCCUUCCUGGGGACCUUUUGUAAAUAUUCAGACUGAUUCAAAUGUUUAAAUGUUGUAAUUGUAAGUAUGUGUUAGUUUUAGUAAUGUAUUUCCCUGUUUAAAAAAAAAAAGGCAGAUGCCAAAACUGUUGUAAAACUUUGUUUAAAAAUUUCAUACCAUGAUUUGGCAUACCUGUGAGUAGCAACAGUGAUAGUGGACCUAAUGUUAUUGGACAAAUCAUAACAAGUUAUGUGCAGCUUUACGGAUCCAACACAAUCUCCACUGCCCCCACUACCUGCAGUCUGCCGAGACAGUAAAACGUCAAAAUGGGAUUUUAAAAAAUAAACUGGCCAAGAUCCGUGCUAAAACAAAUUUAAAGUGGCCAAAUGCCCUUCCAUUAGCAUUAAUGAAUAUGAGGGCCACUCCCAAUCAAAAGACUGGACUCAGCCCACAUGAAAUUCUAACAGGGCACCCGAUGCAACUAUUGGCUGCACCCACACUGGCCCUGGCUCAGAUGGACAGUCAUUCAAUGGAUGACACAAUGCUUAAUUAUUGUCAGGCUCUAACGAAAUCUGUUAGGUCUUUUUUAUAUACAGCAGCCCUGCCGCUCACUGAAACCAGGAGACUGGAUCUACAUAGAGAUCCAUCAGCGAGGAACUGCCCUGACCCCAUGCUGAAAGACCCUUAUCAAGUCCUGUUAAUUAUCAACACUGCUGUGAAGUGCAGAGAAUUGACUACCUGCCCAUGUUUCUCACUGUAAUGGCUCCCCGACUGACGAUCGGUCUAUCUUUCCUUCUGGCAUUGUUGCUCCUUCUGGACAGCAGGAGUGAAGGACAAGGUGAAAAGCCGGUAACCUCUCCCUUAUCCACUGACAGAACUACUGUGCAUUUGGACUUUGCUAGAAGAACCAAACCAUUACAGGGUGAUGUGCUAGUAACCUCUCCCCUGCAUAAUGCUAAACCACGGCUCUUCCAAGAAAGAAGAAGGAACACUCGCUCUGCUGAAACCGCCAAAGUCCAGGGAUUCCUGACUACAAAAGACAUUAAGAAUUGGCCCUGGUGGAAAAGAGGAAGUAUUGUUAAUUGGCAGGGAGAGAAUUGUGGGGACCGCACUUGGAAAUGUGGAGUUGAGUGGUGGGUGGUUUUUUUCUGGGGGCUGGGCUCUGUGCUUACUGACAGAAUGCACUGCCCUCCCUAAUUGGCUUCCAAAGAAUAAAUACGAAAAACAGCUUGCUGCCCCUGACAUUACUCACACCAUUCCCUCCACCUCGGUCACCACCCCUAAAAUUUACCCGAAUACAGAUAAUACCGUAUAUUCUCAUGAAACCCAAUGGCCCGGGCCUUCACAUCUUAGUGAUUUACUAAAAUUUUGUUCAGAAAAAAUAAUUUUUUUUCAGUUCAGAAUAGUUCAUAUGAGCAAACAAUUGAAUGGAAAACAAAUGGGUCGGUAAAAAUAGAAAUAUAUAAUAUUACUACAAAUGAGCCCCAGGAAUCAAAAAUUAAGAUGAAUGGGUUCUAUGAUGGGGUAAAUAUGAUGGCAGCUCCUGAACUCCACAGUGUAUUGGACGAAGUAGGCCCUUACUGUUAUUUGAUCACCCAACUGGUAAAUAAUCAAACAAAUACCCAAAAAGUUUGUUCUGCUGCUGAAAAAAAAUUACCUGUACUGAAAAUGUGCCGGUCACUGAUCAUUUGACCUGUACCCUGUUGUAAUAUACCCCUUCUUAUGCCAUUCAUGCCGAUGCCUCUCAGCCUACUGUGAAGGUGUUUAGCCAAUCGAUGUGGUGUGAUACUUCACAGAGGAGAGAUGUGUUAGGACAUUGGUGGACUGUCAUUAAUGCUACAUUAGGGACCAUUAAAUUCACAUUGCCCUUAUCCAGUUUUUAAAUUACCUCUACAUAUCCAAAUUGCUCCGAAGGGGCUGCCAUCAGGUUAGCACAGCAAAGGGGCUGGGUUUCCCCUAGAAAGAAAAGGGACUUGGCUGGACACCUAUGGGAUGGUGAAAAUAGCAUAGUGGCAAUCUGGAAUAUCCAUAAAGGUCAGCAACAAGAGGAAAAAUUAGGACAGUUGGAAAAAGCCACGGGCCCUAUUGCUGGAGCACAGCUAGCUCAGGUUCAGGCUGGUGUUGGUGAAUUAUACGUUAUCUCCACCCUUAGUGCAAUGACCCAGAAGCUUAUAACAGAUAUGGUGCUUAAUAUCGCUGGGGCUGGGAAGGCAUUGCAGUGGGACCUGGCUUGUUCGGGAGAUCCAAGAUUUUCUAAAUAACCAGCUAAAGGACAUUCAGAAAGACCUCAGACAUCAGGGGUGGCCCUCGACCCUUACAGCCACCUCGGGAGUACCAUCUGAUCUGUGGCCAGGGAGACAUACUUGAAGAUUCUCUGAGUGGAAAUGCAGAUGUUCGCAGUGUUCCUUCCAAGCAUACAGGCCGGUCGGAGGGACGUGGCUUCCACAUACUGAAUCCUGCUGGGUCCAUGGGGAGGAUGCAUGUGGGAUUGGGAAAUUGGGAAGACAUUUGGAUUGGGAAGACAUUUGGGAAAUUAAACCACCUGGUAUGCCUAACCAAUUUGUAGUCAGUGCUCCUGAAAUAACACCCGAUAUCUGGAUAGGAAUAGAAAAUCAAUGGACACUCUGGCCGCUAGAACCCCACAACUUCAGUGUGUACCUAAACUGAAGCCAGGAAAAAGUUGUCACUGUUCAUGAUAACAUUUGUUGGGAGGGGAUGGAACGUGGGACAACCCUGACAGUUCAUCUACUUUUCCAAGCUAAUAAUAGCUGUGUGCAUGUUAAGACCACUACCUUGAAUGAUGUACAUUUUAAUCUUACCACUGCUACAGGAAGCCAUAUCAUACAUUGGCCUGCAGAUAAAAUUCUACAAUUAGCCCUUAGGUUCCAAAUACCCUUUAACUGGACUACUUUAGUACCUGAUCAAUUCCAAAAUUUGCUUUCAAUUCUACCAGAGAUUCAGAAAAUUUUGGACCUACAGGGACAGAUUCACAUACUCCAAAAUAUAUAUCAAGUUGAAAAGAAUGCCUUUCAUACAGCCUAUAGGGAGUCUACCUUAUGUAUUAAGUAUGAUGCUUUGUGUUUUAUGACUAAGACUAUUCAGCAAUCUCCACCCCAUUGUUUUAUUGUCAUAGGAAUGUCGUUUUUAUUACUGUUUGGUAUGGGGUUAUGUUAUUGCUGUUGUAGUAGAUGUGUUUAUCAUUGCCUGCCUGGUCCUAGACCAAUUAAGCUCAAUGUAAAGGAACAAGUGGCACUAAUGAUUCUCAAUAAACUCUAUGGUAACAGGAGACAAGAGGCAGCAAUGAAUGUUUAUGAGGAAAUGCAGGUAGUACGUGAGGAAGAGAGAGAGGAAAUUAAUAAAUUAAUGACCAUGGAGGUAUGAUAGACUAAAGUGAGGCCGAAGAGGCCUCAAAGGGGGGAACUGUGAGGGAAAAUUAACAGGACAUAAAACUCAGGUCAACGCCCUGACUUUGGUCAAGCUUGCCUGCAGGCCGUAAACUGAGAUCCUGCUUGCUUAUGUGCGUCAAGGGAUAGGAGAAGUCACAGUGGAAAGUCCCCCAAACGGAACAAUGGUUUUCUGUGCAUAAGGGGUAUGAAGGGGCAGUAUGGAAAAGUCCCCAGGCAGAACAAAUUUGCAACAGUCAAGCUUAUGACAUAUAUAACCGCAACAGUUGUGUUAGAAAGGUCGCUGACCGCAAAAGAACAGACAGUGAAUAACAGGAAGGGCCUAGUGGGAGAGACGCUUGUUUUUGCUUUUGACCAGUGUUAAUUUUGCAAUGUAUUCCAAAUAAGGUAAUUAAUACGGAUAUAUGUGUAAUUUGUCUGUGGUUUUAAGCUUUAAAAAGCUGUGUGUGCUUUGCAUCGGGGGGCAGCUACUUAGAGCUGUUACCCCUCUGCGCUUGUAAUCAAUGAAGGAGCCUCAGGCUUGUUCUGAUCCAAACACAACGUGUGGUUAAUUUUUCCACGACAGGAAGAUGUGGCUGUAUUAUCGCCUGAUUUUUCUAAAUUUACAUAUAAACUUAAAAUAUGGCUUUAA